AGUCGAGCGAGUCUGCCUUGAAGAUCGGAGUGCUUGCACUCUGUGAAACAAGAUACAGGCUAGCGGCGGACGGGUGAGUAACACGUGGGUAACCUGCCCAAGAGAUCGGGAUAACACCUGGAAACAGAUGCUAAUACCGGAUAACAACAGAUGAUGCCUAUCAACUGUUUAAAAGAUGGUUCUGCUAUCACUCUUGGAUGGACCUGCGGUGCAUUAGCUAGUUGGUAGGGUAACGGCCUACCAAGGCGAUGAUGCAUAGCCGAGUUGAGAGACUGAUCGGCCACAUUGGGACUGAGACACGGCCCAAACUCCUACGGGAGGCAGCAGUAGGGAAUCUUCCACAAUGGACGCAAGUCUGAUGGAGCAACGCCGCGUGAGUGAAGAAGGGUUUCGGCUCGUAAAGCUCUGUUGUUGGUGAAGAAGGACGGGGGUAGUAACUGACCUUUGUUUGACGGUAAUCAAUUAGAAAGUCACGGCUAACUACGUGCCAGCAGCCGCGGUAAUACGUAGGUGGCAAGCGUUGUCCGGAUUUAUUGGGCGUAAAGCGAGUGCAGGCGGUUCGAUAAGUCUGAUGUGAAAGCCUUCGGCUCAACCGGAGAAUUGCAUCAGAAACUGUCGAGCUUGAGUACAGAAGAGGAGAGUGGAACUCCAUGCGUAGCGGUGAAAUGCGUAGAUAUAUGGAAGAACACCGGUGGCGAAGGCGGCUCUCUGGUCUGUUACUGACGCUGAGGCUCGAAAGCAUGGGUAGCGAACAGGAUUAGAUACCCUGGUAGUCCAUGCCGUAAACGAUGAGUGCUAAGUGUUGGGAGGUUUCCGCCUCUCAGUGCUGCAGCUAACGCAUUAAGCACUCCGCCUGG
rnacentral:rRNA from 1 species